UACGAAGGGGGCUAGCGUUGUUCGGAAUUACUGGGCGUAAAGCGCGCGCAGGCGGUCUUCCAAGUCAGUGGUGAAAGCCCGGAGCUCAACUCCGGAACUGCCAUUGAAACUGUAAGACUUGAGGACGAGAGAGGUGAGUGGAAUUCCCAGUGUAGAGGUGAAAUUCGUAGAUAUUGGGAAGAACACCAGUGGCGUAGGCGGCUCACUGGUCCGGUACUGACGCUGAGGUGCGAAAGCGUGGGGAGCAAACAGG
rnacentral:rRNA from 1 species